AGUGAACGCUGGCGGUAGGCCUAACACAUGCAAGUCGAACGGCAGCACAGUAAGAGCUUGCUCUUACGGGUAGCGAGUGGCGGACGGGUGAGGAAUACAUCGGAAUCUACUUUUUCGUGGGGGAUAACGUAGGGAAACUUACGCUAAUACCGCAUACGACCUACGGGUGAAAGCAGGGGAUCUUCGGACCUUGCGCGAUUGAAUGAGCCGAUGUCGGAUUAGCUAGUUGGCGGGGUAAAGGCCCACCAAGGCGACGAUCCGUAGCUGGUCUGAGAGGAUGAUCAGCCACACUGGAACUGAGACACGGUCCAGACUCCUACGGGAGGCAGCAGUGGGGAAUAUUGGACAAUGGGCGCAAGCCUGAUCCAGCCAUACCGCGUGGGUGAAGAAGGCCUUCGGGUUGUAAAGCCCUUUUGUUGGGAAAGAAAAGCAGCAGGCUAAUACCCCGCUGUUCUGACGGUACCCAAAGAAUAAGCACCGGCUAACUUCGUG
rnacentral:rRNA from 1 species